rnacentral:rRNA from 1 species
GUGAUAGCCAAUUUUAUUGGGCCUAAAGCGUCCGUAGCCGGCCGAACGGGUCCGUCGGGAAAUCCACCCGCUUAACGGGUGGGCGUCCGGCGGAAACCAGUCGGCUUGGGGCCGGGAGACCAGAGGGGUACGUCCGGGGUAGGAGUGAAAUCCUGUAAUCCUGGACGGACCACCGGUUGCGAAAGCGCCUCUGGAGAACGGACCCGACGGUGAGGGACGAAAGCUAGGGUCUCGAACCGGAUUAGAUACCCGGGUAGUCCUAGCCGUAAACGAUGCUCGCUAGGUGUGACGCAGGCUACGAGCCUGCGUUGCGCCGUAGGGAAGCCGAGAAGCGAGCCGCCUGGGAAGUACGUCCGCAAGGAUGAAACUUAAAGGAAUUGGCGGGGGAGCACUACAACCGGAGGAGCCUGCGGUUUAAUUGGACUCAACGCCGGACAUCUCACCGGCACCGACAACGUGCAGUGACGGUCAGUUUGAUGAGCUUACCUGAGCCGUUGAGAGGAGGUGCAUGGCCGCCGUCAGCUCGUACCGUGAGGCGUCCUGUUAAGUCAGGCAACGAGCGAGACCCGCGUCCAUAAUUGCCAGCAGCACCCUUGUGGUGGCUGGGUACAUUAUGGAGACUGCCGUCGCUAAGACGGAGGAAGGAACGGGCAACGGUAGGUCAGUAUGCCCCGAAUGUGCCGGGCGACACGCGGGCUACAAUGGCCAGGACAGUGGGACGCUACCCCGAGAGGGGACGCUAAUCUCCUAACCCUGGUCGUAGUUCGGAUUGCGGAUUGAACUCAUCCGCAUGAAGCUGGAUUCGGUAGUAAUCGCGU